UACGUAGGGUGCGAGCGUUAAUCGGAAUUACUGGGCGUAAAGGGUGCGCAGGCGGAUAUGUAAGUUAGAUGUGAAAUCCCAGAGCUUAACUUUGGAAUAGCAUUUAAGACUGCAUGUCUAGAGUUUGUGAGAGGGGGGUAGAAUUCCAAGUGUAGCAGUGAAAUGCGUAGAGAUUUGGAGGAAUACCGAUGGCGAAGGCAGCCCCCUGGCAUAAAACUGACGCUCAUGCACGAAAGCGUGGGUAGCAAACAGG
rnacentral:rRNA from 1 species